AGUAAUUAGAGUGGGCAUUGUUGAUUGAUGUCCAAAACUGAUUAAUAUGGCUAAAAUUGAGACACAGGUAAUGCAUGUAUCACAGUAAACAUUUAUAGUACUUACAAUGAGACCUAUAACAUUU
rnacentral:snoRNA from 1 species